UGGAGGUAGUGACAAUAAAUCACAAUGCGGAACAAUGUUUUGCAAUUGGAUUGAGAACAACGUACAAACCUUAUCGAUAAACAAUUGGAGGGCAAGUCUGGUGCCAGCAGCCGCGGUAAUUCCAGCUCCAAUAGCGUAUAUUAACGUUGUUGCAGUUAAAAAGCUCGUAGUUGAAAUGAAGGGUAGUUGUGUAAUGAAUACAUUCGUGUAUUUUGUUAUUCAACUACCCUCCUUCUAAAUUCGAUAUAUGAGUAUUAAUUUACUUGUAUAUGGUUUUAGACGUUUACUGUGAGAAAAUUAGAGUGUUCAAAGCAGGCAUUUGCUUGAAUAUAUUAGCAUGGAAUAAUCAUGUAUGAUUUUCAUGAUGUAUUUGAUUGGUUUGGUUCAUGAGAAUAAGAUUAAAAGGGACAGUUGGGGGUAUUCAUAUUCAAUAGUCAGAGGUGAAAUUCUCGGAUUUAUGGAAGAUGAACAAGUGCGAAAGCAA
rnacentral:rRNA from 1 species